ensembl:lncRNA
AUGGCAUCUCCUCACAGCAGGCUGCCCAGGCCUAAUGGGGGAGCUCAGCUCCAGGCUUUCAGGGACAAGACCCCUCAUCCCACCACCACUCGUAGCACCACAAGCACAGCAGGGCUGGUGGUUUCCUCACAGACAGGCACAGAAGAGGAGCCUGCCACCAUCAGCAAGGAACCACAGGAGGCAGGCAGCGGCCAGGAUCAGUCUGGAGCACGGGUGCUGAUGAAGGUCCUGGAGCUGACACAACCCUACUGUGCUGCUGGGGAUGGCUGUGACCAAGGAGAUGAGGGCAUGCGAGGGGGGUUGGGGUUUGUUGCAGAGCUGGCACCAUCCCUCACCGGCAGAGUGUGUGGCACCACGGCACAGGAAAAGGCAGAGGAGCGAUGCCACCGGCAUUGCAGAGAGCUCAAGGGCAUUUUGGUGAGGGGUUUCACUGGUCAAAUCUUACGUUGCACAUCGCUGUUUCUGAACAGAAGGAAUUCAGUGGUGCUGUGCUGUGAGAAGACCAAUGUGAUGAGCAUAUUUAAGCAAGGGAAGGCGCAGCAUAUAAAUAAGACUUUGUUCCAGGCCAUGGAAUGCAUUUUGUUCCUGGAAGCAGCUCAGCAACUGCAGCUUUUUUGUCCUUUCAAAUAAAAUUACAUAUUUAGAGAAACAUCCUGUGAUUUGUAGCUUGUAUGAGUUGUAACGUGGACAGGGACUGCACCUGCCCUUGCAGCAGCAAAGCUCUGGUGAAAGAAAUCCACAUUACAGCUAGAGCAGGAGCACCGGCACUUACCGCACUGACUCUAUCUGUAGGCAUCCUGGCCUCAGCUUACAUCAGGCUCAGAAACAAGGCUGAUCCACCUAAUAUCUAGUUCCUGCUCCAUAGUUUCAUAUAUCAAGGGGAAAAAAAUUGGUUGACUUUCAGCAUGAGCAAGAGACAAGCUCUGUCUUUUUUCUGGGGAGAGAAGAAAAAGCAACUGGGGACCAACCCUGGGAGUGAGCUGCUGCUCUCUUGCUGCAGCUCUGCAGGACAUCACCAGCACUGAUGCCACAGGAGCACCUUGCUCCCAUGUAAUAGCUCUCAAGGAGGCUUUCCCAUGCCUAUCCUCAGUGUGCAGCAUCCUCUUUUCCUACCUUUUGCGUUUCUCAAAAUUCUGCACACUCCAAGGAGAGAGGAUGGCCCUGCCAUGCCUGUGUGGCACAGCUGGUUGCAGGGGUAGCCCCUGGCACCAGGCCUAGGGAGGCUGCAAAACAGCAAAUAGUUCUGGAGAUGUUUGAUUUCCUUCCUAGCCACUCCUGCCUAGUGAAAAAAAUGGUUUCUGACACACCAGACAUGUUAGCAAAAGUAUACCUAGAUAAAGAACUGUGUAGUUUUUUCAGACACUCACAGCCAGAAUGUUUCCAUUCCCAGCAGUGUUUUCGGCAAGGAAAACCUAAUCAUUUCCUCCCCGGUACCUCACUUAUUUUCCUUCUGACUUACUCUGUGGACAAUUCCUGGCUUUUCAGAUGAAGAUCUCGUGAUUAAAUGCUGUGGGAGUGGGUGUCAAAGAAUGUAUUAAUGGCAUGUAACCUCAUGCUCGCCCAGCCUUAUCCUCCUCUGCGCCGUGCCAAGUAACACAGUGGGACCUUGAUGUAGUGCUGGGCUUGCUGGAAGCGCCAGCGGUGAAUAUUACCAAGACAGAUGCUUUGAGGGGGCUAAUUGGGUAAAACUGGAUUUCAUUCAUUACCCGGGAUUUCCAAUGGACUUGCAGAUUUUUUUCUGCUUUGCUUGUAGCUGUUGGCAUCAUUAAUGCCUAGAUUUAAUAUGACAGAGCUUUAAUUGUACAGGACAAAGGUGCCUGGUUCCCUGCUUCACUGAUCAAUUCCAGUUCGUAAAUUAUCGCAGAAACAAAACUCUUUAGCAGUGCUGACAAUUAAGUAACAUCCUGAUAAACAUCCCCUUUUGUUUUAUUUAAAUGAAAAUGCCUUUAUUUCCACAGAGUCGUAUCUUGUAACAAUAAGAUUCACUGUCCCUGAAGCUUGGUUAAUUAAACACAGUAUUUGCAAUCUACCAAAACAAGCUGUUUUAUGGGAGCUGAUAACAGGGUUUCCAUUUCAUAAUGUGAACAAUUGGGUUAUGCAAAUGCCAGGAUUUUAAGCCCCUAUGAUCUGUUUUUGUCGCCUUAUUAUCUGUUUCUGUCUGCAAACUCCAAAUAUAGACAUCCCAAUUAAAGCGGCUAAAUGCCAUUAAAUCCAACUAAGAUGUUUUUAUCAGUUAAAAACUUCCACAAUUUAAUUAAAAAUAUGGUUUGAAAUUGGCCUUUCCUGGCCCAAACUCCACUCCCACGUUCCCAUCUGUUUGAUUCAAUUCUUCCCCGAGCACCCCCGUGGUUUUCAUUCCCUGACGUGGCUUACGAGCCCUUUGGAGAUGGUGAGAGACCAUUGCUCAGCCCAGCCUGUGCCCACCCCUUGGCACGUGCGUUAUUAACGCAGCUUCCAGCUGACUCAGUGAGCCUCGCUGGAUGGUUUGGUGCAGAAACAGGACUUGGAUGUGACAGAUGAAGGAUCCUGCCCAGGCUCCUAGAGGUGACAGUACUCGUGGAAGAUCGUCCUGCGCAGCUGAUCUGAUUUCCCCCGCAGAGCAUGUCGUGUGUUCGCGGUGUCACGCCGUGUGUUCAGUGUAUCUCGUAGCUGCGGAUUAGAAGCAAGAAGGAAAUGUAACCGUGAAAUUGGGAACAAGCCUGGGUCUUCUCCCAAGGGGCAUCCUGGCUCUGGCGUGCCCUCAGCAGUCUCAGGCGUGCACUCGCUGGGUAUCUGCAGCUCAGCUCGUUCUGUCGGUGACAGCCUGGCUAUCUGAACGUGUCCGUGAGCUCACUGCCGAGCUGUGUGCUGAACACCGGGGUGAAAUACAGGAGUCUGUUCCUUCCUGGACCAGCUGUUGCUGAGACAAGUUAUCUUCCCCAUCCUCUUUGGUCACCGUGUGCCACGUGCUCCCUGCACGAGGGGUGCAGGAGGAGGAGGCCCUUCUCUGCCUUGCGGCUUGGAGUUUCCAAGCACGGCUGAGAUAAAAGCCAGUCCCUUUUAAUAGCCGCACGUGGAGAUGAGGCGAACACGAGGCUUUCAGAGCGCUCUUGUCAGGGAAUUGCUGGAUGCCUCUCAACUCCCACUUUUCCCCAGGAGGAUGUAGCAGAUCACCCCAGCUAUGUUCCAAGCAGGCUUUGCACUGCUUCCGAAGUGCAGUAAUUUAACUUUAUAUCAACCACAUUUGCAGCAGCUGUCAGUCAGCACGACAGCAAUAUUAACACUCUUGAUAUCUUUGUUGUGAGCAACAGAGAAUGUAAUAUUCUUGAGGGAAGAAGCAGCAAUCGCUUGAGCAGUUGCUUACAACCCAAGUGACUCUCUAUUGAACUGGGAGAGGUUCAAACUGAAUUUUAAACAUAAGAAAAGACUUGCUUUUAGAGUAUAAAGUGACUUGAAUUAACUUUAGACCGACAAGAGGAAGUAGAGGGAAUCACUGGAAUAAAAAUGUGAGACGGGAAGAUUAGAAGGACGCA